UCGCACAGACCAGAGAGAGUGUAAAAGGUGU
rnacentral:piRNA from 1 species